rnacentral:rRNA from 1 species
CGGGUGGGUAAUACAUCGGAACGUGUCUUCUAGUGGGGGAUAACUGCCCGAAAGGGCAGCUAAUACCGCAUGAGACCUGAGGGUGAAAGCGGGGGAUCGCAAGACCUCGCGCUGGAAGAGCGGCCGAUGUCCGAUUAGCUAGUUGGUGAGGUAAAGGCUCACCAAGGCGACGAUCGGUAGCUGGUCUGAGAGGACGACCAGCCACACUGGGACUGAGACACGGCCCAG